GCGGCCAGGACGGGCCAGGGCGGGGGCGCGCGAGGGUGGUGCUGGGAGGGCGUCGGCGCACGCGGACCCCGACCCGGGGCCUGCGCUUCCGAGAGCCCCGCCUCGCCGCUCGCACGCGGCCGCCCGCCCUGCUCCUGCUGCUGCUGCUGCUGCUGCUGCUGCUGCUGCUGCUGCCCCUCCGGGCUGGCGGACCGGCGGGCGGGCGCGGGCGGCGCCGCCGGGGGCGGACCCCAGGCGCUGCCCUCGCGGUCCCUUGGCAGGACUGUACGAAGCCUGCAGCCUCCCAAGCCCGAUCUCCUCUUUUUGUUUUUGAGAAAGGGUCUCUCUGUGUAGACCAGGCUGGCCUUCUGCCCGGACACCACCCGGAGAGCUGGUUUGUAGGAAGUGCCCUUGCUCCACAGGACGGAUCAGAGGAGACCUCUCAGGACGCCAGAUGAAGGAAGAAAUUUACGGAGACGAAGAAAUGGCGUCCACAGUCACACUCUUAAGCUGAAGGAAGGAUCCUAACUCAGUAUUCCCAGGCUGCCUUGAGCUCCCCCGAGGCUCACAUUCCAAGUAACAUAAAAGCAAAAUUCUAAAAUUCUGUGCUACCUUGCCUUCUGCCCUUUCUCAAGUUCCGCCUUCGUUUUUCACCUUGACUCCUGGCUGCUCCGAGAAUGGGGAGGCUGGCUUCUUCCUCUGAGACUGUCUGUUCUCAAAAACUGUCUCCGAACUACCAAUGCCCAGAGCCUCCUAUAAACUGUCUCCGAACUACCAAUGCCCAGAGCCUCCUAUGUCAUAGGCUUUAAGCCUUGUUUAAAUGUCUCAUUUCUUAAGUGAAAGCUUCCAUAAAGAGCAUCUUUGGGGCAGCCGCA